GCGCCCGUAGCUCAAUGGAUAGAGCAUCAGACUACGAAUCUGAGGGUUGUAGGUUCGACUCCUGCCGGGCGCGCCA
rnacentral:tRNA from 1 species